GAUAUAGAAAAUACUUUAGAUUAUGGUGUUUAUACAUCAGCCCAACCAAUGACUAUUCAUGAUUCCAUAAUUGAAUCAAUUCCAUACCGGUUCUUAGAGGAAUGUUAUGGUAAAACUUCGUUUGAAACGAUGUGGUAGAAAGCAACGUGCGACUUGAAGGACACGAUCCGUUGUGGAUUUGUACAUCCACCAUUUUUUGUAGGAAUGAAGGUGCUCUUAACUCGACAUCAUUGGUUCUGUUUCACUAGAACCCCUCGUUUUUUGUUGUCUUGGAAUGUAAAUAGUCCAUGAUGGAGCUCGAGUAGAAAGUAUUAAUUUCUUUCUCGGGGCAAGGGUCUAGGGUUAAUGCCAAUCAAUAAAACAAUUGAAACAACUUCGUAAAUAUAUCUAAUAUAUCUUAGGUAUGGAAAUCGAAAGAAUCCAAUUCGAGCAAGUUUCAAAUUAAAAAAUUUAUUGGAAUUGAUCAAACUUUUUCGAUCCAAAGUGUUUCACGAGGGAAUCCAUCAUCUUGUAGGAUUCUUUCAUAAAAAUCGCAAAAAGGGUAUGUUGCUGCCAUUUUGAAAGGAUUAAAAAGCACCGAAGUAAUGUCUAAACCCAAUGAUUUAAAAUAAAACAAAGAUAAAGGAUCCCAGAACAAGGAAACACCUUUUUAAUUGUCUUAAUAACUGGAUCAGACUGAAGAAUCCGAUUUUAAACGAGACAAACAAAAAAGGAGGAAAGACCGCUCAAUAAAUGAAAUUGCCGAAAGAUUUUCCUUUGAACUGUUUGAAAGUUAUCCAACUUGAGUUAUGAGAGUACGAAUGGUUUAUUUUUCAUUUUAAGGAAGAACGAAGAAAAAAAGACUUAGAUCUUUAAUUGCUUUGAUCAUUUUAUGGAUCCAGUUGUCAUUUCUUAGAUAGAAUUCCAUACAAAGACAAAACUUCGAAUCAAUCAUUUUUCUCGAGCCGUACGAGGAGAAAGCUUCCUAUACGUUUCUAGGGGGGGUGUUGUUCAUCUACAUCUAUCCCAAUGAGCCGUCUAUCGAAUCGUUGCAAUUGAUGUUCGAUCCCGAAGAGAAGGAAAAGAUCUUCAGAAAGUGGGUUUUUAUGAUCCGAUAAAGAAUCAAACUUAUUUAAAUGUUCCUGCUAUUUUAUAUUUCCUUGAAAAAGGGGCUCAACCUACAGAAACUGUUCAGGAUAUUUUAAAGAAGGCAGAGGUUUUUAAGGAACUUCGUCUUAAUCAACCGAAAUUCAAUUAAGGAAAUAAAUUAAGGAAAUACAAAAAAGGGGGUAGUGAUUUGUAUAUAACUUUGUAUGACUUUUCUCUUCUAUUUUUUUGUAUUUCCUCCCUUUCCUUUU
rnacentral:lncRNA from 1 species